ACCCGGCUGGCUCAGUCGGUAGAGCAUGUAACUCUUGAUCUCAGGGUCAUGAGUUCAAGCCCCAUGUUGGGCG
rnacentral:tRNA from 1 species